CUACAACCAACAAAAAUGACUUUCAGCACCAUAUUGAUCUGGACGCUGGCAGUAUUAUGUCGAGAAUCUGUUGGUCAGGUGACAGUGACUCAAACUCCCUCAGAGCUGCUCUCUCAAACUGGACAAUCAGUCACUGUGACCUGUAAAUUUAACAGAGAUCCAGUCUCCUGUCCUUAUUAUUAUUUAGCCUGGUACUUACAGAAACCUGGAGAAGCUCCUAAACUCCUGAUUUAUGCAACAAACCUCCUCCAGUCAGGAACUCCAUCUAGAUUCAGUGGCAGUGGAUCUAACAGUGAUUUCACUCUGACCAUCAGUGGAGUCCAGACUGAAGAUGCUGGACAUUAUUACUGUCAGAGUUACCACUGCACAACAAGUUGGCUUGGUGGUUGUAAUGCUGAUUAUGUGUUCACACAGUGAUAAAGAGUCGUACAAAAACCUCCGUCAGUCAGAGUCACAGUGACUGAACUGAUACUGCAGCUGCUCACACACUUUCACACACUACUGACACACAGAGGACAAACACAGGAACUACACAUGUGCUCAAAACUGACUUAGGAGUGU